AGCUUGGAUAUCCUCACUACCACCCCUGAGCCCGAUUUCUGGAGAGUCGGUGGCAUGAGGGAGGAAGCUGUCAGGCAAUAUACUCGUUAUGCAGGACCAAACAGCAUGGACGUGUUGGCAGGAAUCCCACACAGGUGUGAGUGCCAGCCGCCGCAGGUAAGGCAGACCGACGUACGCCCUUACCUGUACAGUGACGGAUCGACCUAUUACGACAUGUCACCUUGCGUGGAGUGUAGUGCAGAUUGUGUGCCUCCGAGGUGAACGUCUGACUGAAGUGAACGUAUGGCUGGUCGAGAACUCUUCCAAACAGGUAAAGUAAUUAUGACAAUAUAUAAUGUCUAUA